GAUUUGGUUCGGUCACGCUUGGCGUCGGGCCGUGGAAAAGAUCUCCACGAAAGGGGUAGGUUCGGGUUUUCGUCGCGCGCCGUAUCGCUGGUCAGCGCUGCUCCUCUCCCCCAAUCCCCUAACGCAGUGAACCUAGACCAAUCCACACCCCUCUCCCGUGCUGCUCCUCUCCCCCAAAUCCCCUUCCGUGCUGCUCCUCCCCAAUCCCCUACCUCCACCCUAUCUCCGGCGAGCCGCCGUCGGCCGCAUCCUCUCGCUCUGCCUGCCGCCGCCACACCAUCGAUCUCUGGGCCGGGUCGAGCCGUCGCUGUAGCCGCACGCUGCAGAUCCGCCUUGUUUUUCGCGCACGACCGCUGGCGCAGCCCAGCCUCCGCCUCUGGUUCCUCGUCUUCAUCGUGUGCAUCAGCUGGCCGAGCUCUAUCUCCUCCACCACAAUUUUUUUCUGCACAUACGAGAAGGAGGCAGUUGGGAGAUGGCUCAAGGGCACGGGAUCCAAGUCGUCGUUCUCGUCCAUCCGAGGUAUCUAUCUCCAUGAGCAGCUCCAAGGAUCCUCUCUCUUUAUAUCCCUCUCAAUUAAUCCCCAAAAAUCCUCAAAAUUGUUUGUACAGAUUCUGUUUUACCUCUGCUCAAAGGCGUUUGGCAUAAUUGUUGCAAGGAAAGAUUAAUCUAUUUUGUAUAUUUGCUAUACUGAUUACUCAAUAAUUUCAUUCUUUUCUGAUGGCAUGAUGUAUAUACACAUCCUCCCCAAUAAGAGAAGAGCAUCGGUGUUCAUCUGCUUGCUUCUCAUGGAGAGGGCUCGUUGGCAGAUGAUUAGGCCGGUUGGGUGGUCGGUUCUGCUACCAGUAGCAGAAGGUGAGCAUCAGGUGGGUCACUAGCGUUGCUGGUUUAGUCGGAGAUGGCAGGGGCACGAGGAGGAGGGGUGAGUGGUCAUGGCCAGCGUUCGUCCACUGUCAGAUCAGGCGAAGGUGAAGCAAGGGUGGAGGUUGCAGCAGUGCCUGAAGGAAACUCUAAAUGUAUUUGCUCACGAAAUAAUUCCUUUCUAUGUGAGUACUUUGCAGAUGUUUAUGCAUGACCUGGAAUAAUACAUGUUGCAGGCUAUUAUGUGUCAUCGGCCUUCUCAUGCCCACAAGAAUAGAAUGUUUGAUGUUAUCGUAUAAACACAAGUUUCUCCAUGUUGGAAGUUGUUUCAGGAAGGAUAACAUGUUUCCUGCUAAUUUUUCUCAUCUUUUGUACAUUGUUGGUCUGCUGCAACUUCAAUCAUUAUUUGGGUGCAUUCUAGGUUUGCUAGAGCUUCUUCCACGGUUAAAGGAAAAGCAGAAAGUUCAUGCCUACUAAACUUGGUUCACAAAGAUUAGCAGGUUUGCUACUAAUUCUGGUCGUCUUGGUGCGUCGCAGGUUUGUUACUAAUGUUGACUUUUUAAUGCAUUAUAGGUUUGCUACCAAAUUUCAGAAAAUAAUUAAACCUCUUUUUGAAUUCCCAUCCAUAGAGGUAUUACCUGAAUCCAGGGUAUUCAGAGAACACCUAAUAUAUUUGUGGACCACUACUUGUUCUGGUGUUACAAGGUAAAGGUAUUUUUUCAGUAAUCCUUUCAGAGUAGCUUUUAUGCUUUUCUAAAUAGAUGCGAACAUCUAAAGCAUCUGUGUUUUACAUAUUUCUUAGUUGCAAUCAUGCAUCAUCGUAUUUCAUUACCAUAGUAAUCAGGUUGUUGUUUAAUUUUUGUUACAUAAAUAUAUGUUAUAUAUACGACCUAGCGCUUGCAGAUUUAUAAAUACAGAAUCUUUUUGUCGUGUUCAUGCUCUCAUCUUCUUCCAAGUUUGCCUGAAAAAUGGUCUCUGGUACUUUUAUGUCUCCAAGGAGUCUGGGUCUGAUCUGCUGUUACCCAAUCUUGCCAAGAAGGUUUCAUAGAGGUGAGGUUAUACUUGAGUGGUGCGUCUGGCAGGGGCAAGCUGGAGCAUGUCUAUUCCUCUCCGAUAGAAGGCAGCAUGCCUCCCUGAUGGAAAAGAAGCAAAGGGACCUCAAAAGUUUCAGGUCCGCCUUGCAGCUGACAAGGUCUCGAGCAUCUGACAAGAGGGAGAGGAGGAACACAGCCGCGUUCUAGCUCGGCGAUGAGAAAGCUAGAGGAUAAUAGAAGAUGAGCUUGCGUUCUAACAUGGUAAAACGGAGACAGACCAUACAGCCAAGAAGUAGCUCACUACCAUGUAGUGAAUUUGUUGGUAUCCUUUUUCUCUUAUACAUAUAUAUUCUAAAGAAGAUAGGAAAAGUUGCUGCUGUAACUGGAUUUUAUUUCUGUUUUACCUUUGGAUCUAUCGGUAUAUAUGGUGCAUCACUUGGUAGCUAUAUGGCUAUAUUAGAGCUUCUGCUAUUUCUUGACUGCGGCCUUUGGUAUCUAUAUGGCUAUAUUAGAGUUUAAGUUCUUUUUUCGUAAAGUAAGCUUUGCUACUAUUUUUUACGAGAAAUCUCCUUGCUAAAAUUUCUUGUGGGGCCUAUCAUCAGUAGUCAAUUGGACUUCUUCUAGGCACAUUUGUAGAGAUGUUUUUGGUCGAUAUCAUGGCACCUGGCAUGGGAAACUUCUCGCUUAGCUCUCCAUUCUUGCUCUGACCUCCUUUCAUGUUGUCAUUAGAAGAAACAUCAAAGGCAAUACUCGCUAUCAUGUUCUUCAAUUCAAAUGCAGUUCCAGUGCUUUGAUUUCAAAUGCUACCUAAUUUGUUCUUCAUUGCCAUGGGCUCGGACAAAUUUUGAAACCAAUAAUUCUCUGAACCCUAUUGAUCCCUAAAAAAACAUUGAUUUUCUAUGUUCUAGAGUCUAUGUCACACUUGUGCCUCUCUGUGUUGCUUUCAUAUUUUUUUUUGAGCACGUGUCAUGAAGAGGUAAGCAUAUCUAGCACAUCACUUUACCAUUGCCAAACCUUUGAUAGAAGAUAAAGAUUUACUUAUUUUAUUCAAACAACAUGUUUGAGCAUUCCAAUCUAAUUUAGAGACCAUGGUACUUGGAUUUAUGCCUCCCCAUGUAUGAAGUACAAAGCCUAAAAAACCAACACGCAUUAUUUAUUUCCUAUUUGGCUAUUUGUUCUGAGGCAUGGCAGCUGCAGCCUCUGUGGCUGAAAUGAUGAAAGCAUGAUAUUUGCCUCCUCUGUUUUCCGAGACUCCUCUCCUUACUUUUGUGAUGUUUUUUUCUACCUAGACUUUCUACUGAUAUUUCCAUUUUAUAAUUAAUUGUCCUGAUCUGACUGCACUUGAUAAGAAACAGUUGACUGCACUGAUAUAUCCUUUUUAGGAGUUAAUAGUUCUUACCUGACUGCACUUGGUAAGAAACACUUGAUGCUAUUUAGUUCUAAAUUAGGCAACUUUGUUGUUUUCUAAAUUUAUAAUUGUAUGAUACUUCUUUAUAAUGGCGCGAUGGUACAAAUGUGUUCUUUAAUUUUGGCGUCUUCUGAAUAAUACUCUUUGGUCUAUCCCAUAUCUCUGAACUCUCAAGUUAUUGGCUUUGUGUUCUGUUUCGUCCUUUCAAGUCAUAUUUCCUCCAUAAUAUAUAUUGGUUUGAACAUGGUAUUUGUUCCCAUAUAGCUUAAUGAUUUACAUUGGUUACUACUUGGCUGGAGAGUUUGAGCUUUUGUGCUACCAUUCAUGUUUCUCUCAUGCUUAAAAGAAUUUUUAUUGCAUAUUUCCAUAUUUUCUGAAUUUGGCUUCUAACUGAAGCGGAAAUUAUAUAACAUUCAAGGAGAAGGAUCGGAGAUGUUUCUCACUACCUGAGUAAUUAAGUAGUACCAUUUUAAAACAAAAAUACAUGUAUUCGUAUGUGUAUUAAUGGGCAGUUGUACUGGCAAGAGAUGCAUACAAAGGAAUCUGGGGGUGAUUGGCAACACAAGAAGCCUAGAACAUCGGCUAGAAAAUCUGGCAUGUUUCCUCUUAUUUUGUAAUCUGUGUGGCAUAGGCUGAAUGGCAACACUAGGCAUUUAUAUUUUUUGAUAUAAUUUGUACAUGCAUUUUUUCUUGGUUUGAGUGAUGGAGGUGUACAGGAGAACAAGCUAAGAUUAAGAAUGAUGAUAUGCUACUUGAGUGGUGAUAAAAGACCAAAAAGUUUCGAUGACGUCCUGAGCAAAUGAAAGGGAAGGUGUACAGUUGAACUCUGUCAUGACUAGCCACUGUCCCCCGCAAAAAAAAUGACUUACCACUGUCAAUUGGGGCUCAUCUUAUGUCUCCUGGUGCCCGCCGGUUUUUCUUGUAUAAUAGUACCUACCGGCAGGGCUUCUCUUCUUCUGCUUUUGAUUGGGUUUUCCUUGCAGCUACUGCCUCACCAGCGCUCCGGUUAUUUGCCAAACAGAGCAGCUGCCUACAACACAAGUCGCUGCAGAGCGGACGGGGCUCAUGGGCUAUUCUGUGUGCUCAGAAGGCGUGAGCAAAGGCGGAAGGACAUGCCGGUGGCGAUGAAUCUGUGGUGCAGGUCAUGAGCAUUGUAGUGCGCUCUUCUGCAUCCAUUGGUACUCCGGCCAGAAUUGAGCAGAGGUGGUGGCAAAAAGGAUGCAACCAGGGCGUGGCGUGGCGCCAUGCCUAACUUCAUAGUUUCCGUUUCAGUGGUCCAUACACGCUUCUUCUGAAUUUUGUGAGAUUUCGAGUAUGUGUGUACCUAUGGGUGAAGGGUGAUAAAAAACAUCUGCUUCAAUUUUGUUUCAAUCAUGAUAAUAUGCUGUCUUUUCAGCUUUUAAGUAUUAUAAAUCUGCGACCAA